rnacentral:rRNA from 1 species
CGUGAGCAAUCUGCCUUGGAGUGGGGAAUAACGGUUGGAAACAGCCGCUAAUACCGCAUGAUGCGUCUGGGAGGCAUCUCUCUGGACGCCAAAGAUUUAUCGCUCUGAGAUGAGCUCGCGUCUGAUUAGCUAGUUGGCGGGGCAACGGCCCACCAAGGCGACGAUCAGUAGCCGGACUGAGAGGUUGGCCGGCCACAUUGGGACUGAGACACGGCCCAGACUCCUACGGAAGGCAGCAG